rnacentral:rRNA from 1 species
AGUGGAUGGGGAGCAACCUAGUUGUGCGUGUGUAAAGGUAGUGCCAAGAAAAGCGGUGAUCAUGAUGAAAAUCAAUUCCCGGUACCCGAAACCGACACAGGUGGGCAAGUAGAGAAUACUAAGGGGCGCGAGGUAACUCUCUCCAAGGAACUCGGCAAAAUGACCCCGUAACUUAGGGAGAAGGGGUGCCACCGAGAGGUGGUCGCAGUGAAGAGGCCCAGGCGACUGUUUAGCAAAAACAUAGGUCUCUGCAAACUCGAAAGAGGAGGUAUAGGGGCUGACGCCUGCCCAGUGCCGGAAGGUUAAAGAAGUUGGUCAGUCUUAGGAUGAAGCUAGCGACUGAAGCCCCGGUGAACGGCGGCCGUAACUAUAACGGUCCUAAGGUAGCGAAAUUCCUUGUCGGGUAAGUUCCGACCCGCACGAAAGGCGUAACGAUCUGGGCGCUGUCUCGGAGAGAGGCUCGGAAAAUAGGAUUGUCUGUGAAGAUACGGACUACCUGCAUUUGGACAGAAAGACCCUAUGAAGCUUUACUAUAGCUUGGAAUUGUGUUCGGGCUUCCUGUGCGCAGGAUAGGUGGGAGGCGUAGAAGGUAUUCUUGUGGGGAUACUGGAGCCAACGGUGAGAUACCACUCUCAGGAGGCUAGAAUUCUAACUUAAUUAAGGACAGUUUCAGGUGGGUAGUUUGACUGGGGCGGUCGCCUCCAAAAAGGUAACGGAGGCGUACAAAGGUUCCCUCAGACUGGUUGGAAAUCAGUCGAAGAGUGCAAAGGCAGAAGGGAGCUUGACUGCGAGAAGUACAGUUCGAGCAGGGUGGAAACACGGUCUUAGUGAUCCGACGGUGCUGUGUGGAAGGGCCGUCGCUCAACGGAUAAAAGUUACUCUAAGGAUAACAGGCUGAUCUCCCCCAAGAGUUCACAUCGACGGGGAGGUUUGGCACCUCGAUGUCGGCUCAUCGCAACCUGGGGCGGAAGUACGUCCCAAGGGUUGGGCUGUUCGCCCAUUAAAGCGGUACGUGAGCUGGGUUCAGAACGUCGUGAGACAGUUCGGUCCAUAUCCGAUGUAGGCGUGAGAAUAUUGAGAGGAGCCUUCCUUAGUACGAGAGGACCGGGAAGGACGCACCGCUGGUGUACCUGUUAUGAUGCCAAUUGUAAACGCAGGGUAGCCAAGUGCGGAGAGGAUAACCGCUGAAAGCAUCUAAGUGGGAAGCCCACCUCAAGAUGAGUAUUCUGGUGUAAGGUCACGGGAAGACGACCCGUAAAUAGGCACGAGGUGGAAGUGCAGAGAUGUAUGAAGCCGAAGUGUACUAAUAGACCGUCGGCUUGACC